UACGUAGGGUGCAAGCGUUAUCCGGAAUUAUUGGGCGUAAAGAGCUCGUAGGCGGUUUGUCGCGUCUGCUGUGAAAACUGGAGGCUCAACCUCCAGCCUGCAGUGGGUACGGGCAGACUAGAGUGCGGUAGGGGAGAUUCGGAAUUCCUGGUGUAGCGGUGGAAUGCGCAGAUAUCAGGAGGAACACCGGUGGCGAAGGCGGGUCUCUGGGCCGUAACUGACGCUGAGGAGCGAAAGCGUGGGGAGCGAACAGG
rnacentral:rRNA from 1 species